AACUCUAUUCUGGCUUUAUUCAAAUAAAUAAUUUUGUAAUUAUUCCAUGACAUCAAGAAGGCCUUGGCUUGAAGUUUCCGAAGUUGUUAGUCAGGUCCUCAUGUGCUGGUGGAUAUAGUGAACAAAAGAUGUGCAUGGCAUCAUUAAGCCAGUCCCUCUUUGUCAACCAAAUUUUUUUUCAAUCCAAAGAGAGGGAAGGGUGAAGAAAUGGUGGCUUAAGAGGACUCAACUCUUUCUGCUUCUUACUUACCAUGUGCCCCCUCUGCUACAAUCCUUCAGCA